ensembl:lncRNA
GAACUAACUUUGUUUAGGUAGUAAAUCGUUGUAUGUAUUUAUUUAUUUAGAUUCCUAAAUCGCCUGGCGCUUAACUAUGUGGGUUGAGUUUGUCUGUGAGCGUGCGCGCGCCGCCGGUAGUCGGUGUCGUGGAGUUCCCGCGCGUCUCGCGCUGCUGAUGUUGACGAACCCUGAAGAACUGACACAUCAUUCACACCGAGUCGCAGACCCUCUUGAGCUUUUAACAAGAAAUCACGGAGACUUGGACUUCAGAACAGGUGAUCUGUAUUCUGAUUGGCUGCAGGUUGGUUAUGAGGGUCCUUAUAUCAGAAAGAUUUCCAUCACUCAAGAUUCGAUGGUUCGUGGGAGCUAAUGCAUGCGGGACAGCGAUUUGUGUGCAGAGCGUGCGGGUCGGAGUCUCAUAUCUGUAGAGAGGAAGAGAGGUCAGAGGUCAUGCUCGGGGGGCCGUGAGCUGGUAUCAUGUUUCAGGUGGGAUAUUGUAUGUUUUCAGAGGCAGUCAACUUUUUCAGAGUGCUCUGCCUCACUGAUCCCAAGACAGAGGUCGAAGGUCAUGUUCAGAGGUCUUGACCUCCAGUGGAAUGCCUGUGUGGGGGUUGUUAUCAGGAUCCAUUUGCGUUUUUUUUUUUUUUUGAGACAUGCAGGUGUAAAAACAGUCGAGGUUUUAUGUCCAGACUGAAAAAUUGUGUGGGUAUGUUUAUGUUAUUAUGUGAUUUGCUUAAUUUCUUUUGUGAAAUUGGUGCAUAAAUGACACUAUCAGUGGCUACAAUUAAUUAUUAGGGAAUUCCCCAUUGUUUAUAAGCAGAUAUAUAUUUUUUACUUAAAGGUACAGGUUGUGCCACUAGAGGGCGCACUAUCAAAACAAUAACAAUCGCGUGGUUUGAUGAUGCUAAGAAGGAGCGUGGAAUGAUGGGAUUUGUUGUCUUCUACCGAACCGCUGAAGGCCAUCAAUCAGACGGGAAGAUAAAUCAUGGAUUUAAUGCGAGUUCAACGAUUUGUGCGAGUAGAUUACAUACAAAGUCAAUGCAAAGACGCGAUUAGACGAUGGAUCAGACGUGUCCUCACGCGGGUCUAGAGAUGCGAUGCCCCACGUCUGGCGUGUAUGCCCCAUAAUACUAAUCUUGUCGAUCAUUAUAAUAGCAUAUGUUUUCUGUAAAGAUACUAAUCAAAACAACUCACCUGUCGAGUAAAACACAAGCGAGAUCGGCAUCUCUUUCUAGAUGAAGUUUGUCGCGAAGCUAUUUCCGCAUUUGUCCACGACACUGUUGUCAUGUGGUUUCUACGUCAGUAAAGGCGGUAAAAAGGGGUAACUAACGUCAUUGACAGGCGACUGCACUGUCCCGUGUCACUGUUUAGAAUGGGAAUUUUCUCAUGAUUUACAAGUAGUUGAAAACAUUAGAGAUAUUGUUAGUUAAUCAGCUGGACAAAAUAUAUAACAUUAGCCUAGUGGUUUUGGGAUAUUUUACUGCAAAUAUCUUACAAAUUAUACCUUUAACAGUAUUAAUAUAAAUAAAAAUGCUUAGUUCCCGUUUUUGAAUUUAGAGCAUUGUCACUAGUAAUUUAAUGAAAAAGUUCAGUGCAACUCUCAGUUUUUAAUAAAAUUGUAAUACAGUAGUUUAAUUUUAAAAGUAUUUUUUCAGCCAUUUAUGAGCUAUUAAAUUGAUCAGCUAUUUAUGAAAUUUUAAAAUCUCACAAUUCAGAAUUACAAGAUAUAAAUUUGUAAUUCAUCAAUUGAAUCAACAAACAGAACUAACAAAUAUUGCUACAAGUGUGACUGCAUCAUAUAAUAAUUAUUAAUGAAUAAUAUUAAUAAUGUUCAUCGUCUGGCUGACUAUGUCUUGUAUUAAUUUUUCUAAAAAUCCUGUCAAACGUGCACAAACUGACAGUCACCACUUAUAAGCUACUACUGAAUAUUGUAGAAACAUAAUUUUCUGUAAAGUUGCUUUGUAACGAUUUGUAUUGUAAAAAGCACUAUACAAAUAAACUUGAAUUCUAAAAAAAAGAAAUUCGUAAGAUAUAAACUCAUUACUGUAAGGAAAAAAGUGGUUUGUUUGAGGAAAAACAAAUCUGACACGUAGUCAGAAUUCUGAGAAAAAAAGGUCAAAAUAAUAAACUCAAAAUUCAAAGAAAAUAGUCAAAAUUAUGAGAUGAAAAUUCAGAUAUCUAAGAAAAAUGUUGGGAGUUGUAAACCCGCAGUUACGAGUUUAGAACUUGCAAUUGCAAAAGUUUGCAAGUUCUUGCAAGUUCUUGCACAAUUAGCAUUUUAAUUCUUAUUGAUCAAAAGCUUCCAUAGUUUUCAGCCAUAUCGAUAAAUUGAAUGGGUUAUUGAAGUUAGCCAAAAUGUUAAUAUCAGUGCAGCCUUAAUAUCCAUACCAGCUCAUCGUGAACAAAGCUAUUUCA